rnacentral:rRNA from 1 species
CCCGCACAAGCGGUGGAGCAUGUGGUUUAAUUCGAUGCAACGCGAAGAACCUUACCAGGGCUUGACAUCCCCUGACCGCGUAUGAAAGUACGUUUUCACCCUCGGGUGACAGGGAGACAGGUGGUGCAUGGUUGUCGUCAGCUCGUGUCGUGAGAUGUUCGGUUAAGUCCGCUAACGAGCGCAACCCUCGUCGUAUGUUAUAUGUGUCAUACGAGACUGCCGGUAAAAAGCCGGAGGAAGGUGAGGAUGAUGUCAAGUCAGCAUGACCUUUAUAUCCAGGGCUACACACACGCUACAAUGGUCUGUACAAUGGGUGGCCAAGCCGCGAGGCGGAGCCAAUCCUGAAAGCAGGCCUCAGUUCAGAUUGCAGUCUGCAACUCGACUGCAUGAAGCCGGAGUUGCUAGUAACCGCAGGUCAGCAAUACUGCGGUGAAUACGUUCCCGGGUCUU